AGCGAACGUUAGCGGCGGGCCUAACACAUGCAAGUCGAACGCGAAAGGUCUUCGGACUGAGUAGAGUGGCGCACGGGUGAAUAACACGUAGGUAAUCUACCCUUUGGCGGGGGAUAACGUUCCGAAAGGAGCGCUAAUACCGCAUAAGACCACGGAGUCUCCGGACGCUGUGGGAAAAGGUGGCCUCUUCUUGAAAGCUACCACCGAAGGAUGAGCCUGCGUCCCAUCAGCUAGUUGGUAAGGUAAUGGCUUACCAAGGCGAAGACGGGUAGCUGGUUUGAGAGAAUGAUCAGCCACACUGGCACUGGAACACGGGCCAGACUCCUACGGGAGGCAGCAGUGAGGAAUAUUGGGCAAUGGGCGAAAGCCUGACCCAGCCACGCCGCGUGAGUGAUGAAGGCCCUCGGGUCGUAAAGCUCUGUGGAGAGGGACGAAAACCCUGGUUUCAAAUAGGCUCCAGGCUUGACGGUACCUCUUUAGCAAGCACCGGCUAACUCUGUG
rnacentral:rRNA from 1 species